AGCAUCUGCAAUUCCCAUUAUCUCUCACAGUAUGAAUUAUCUUGGUUCUUUAGAUCAACAGGCUGUGAAAAGGAUGAUAGACUACAUCAACAGUCCCUCAGGGAAGAUGACAUGGAAAGGUGCUACAAGACAAAGCUACAUUGGUCAAGGACUGUUGCAGGUACUUCAAAUCGCAGUACACUACUUCAAUUAAUCACUGGUUGCAGAAGACUGGAAGGGAAGAAUGCACAGCAAUGGAACAUCUACUGAGAUAAUUUACUAAUGGUUUGGGAUAUGUGCAAAUACAAGGUCCUCGUUUUCAGCCAACCAAAAGUGCCUGUAUGUGGAAGAUGACCCUCAAACCAUAUUGCUAUGAUUAUCAGAUUCAUCCAGAAUGGGUGACACAGCCAUGGCACAGACAGUACAGAUAAAAUCAAAAAUGAACCUUGCACUUUAACAUAAUCCAUGAUGCUGUAAGCAGAUAAGGUUAGAUUCAAGAUGCUUUUGGGAAAAAUUACUACCAAUAAUCAUUAGAUUUGGAAAUCACAUGUGUAUUAUUUUAGUUACAUUUUAUUCAUAUAUUUCUUUAAAUAGUGGUCAUGGAUGGCAGCCAAUGAAUUAGUUUGAUAUUAUUAUCAGGCUGUGAGUUUAUUAGAUUAGAUUAGAUUCCCUGCGGCGUGGAAGCAGGCCCUUCAGCCCAACAAGUCCACACCGCCCCUUGGAGCAUCCCACCCAGACCCAUCCCCCUAUAACCCACACACCCCUGAAUACUACGGGCAAUUUAGCAUCCCCGAUCCACCUAACCUGCACAUCCUUGGACAGUGGGAAGAAACUAGAGCACCCGCGCAAACAUGGGGAGAAUGUGCAAACUCCACACAGUCAGUCGCCCGAGGCCGGAAUCGAACCCAGGUCCCUGGUGCUGUGAGGCUGCAGUGCUAACCACUGAGCCACCGUACCGCCGUCAUUUAGUUUCAAAUCUCUUUGCAGGGCAUUUAUUCUUCAGUUUUCUGCCUAUAGACAGGUCUGACCUACAGUAUCACAAUCUCCACAACAGAUGACCAAGGCGGCAGCUGUGGAAUGCAUUCCAAUUGGAAUGGGAAUGAACACCAUGCUGUGGGUACCAAUCUGACCCACACUGGCUGUCCAGCCGACUGGAUUAGUGAACCACCCCAAGGACUCUGACUUGAUGUGGCGACAUUCACUUUUACAUAAAAGAAAUAGAUACUAGUAGCAGGAGUUGUCCAUUUGGCCCUUUGAGCCUGCUCUACCAAUCAAUAUGAUUAUUGCUCAUCCUCUAUCUCAAUGCCACAUUCCCACUUUCUCUCUAGCUUUAGUAUCUAAAAAAAAUUAAUCUCUUUCUUGAUUACACUUAGUGACCCAGCAUCCACAGUCUUCUGUGGUAGUGAAUUCCACAGGUUGAUCACCCUCUUGAGUGAAGUCAAUCCUGUAUGGUCUACUCCAUAUUUGAGACUGUGAUCCCUAGAUCUAGAUUCCCCACUCCAGAAAACAUCUUCCCUGCAUUUAACCCUAAUCUAAUUCUAAUCCGAUUAGAAUUUUAUACAUUUCCUCCACAUCCCCUUUGAUUCUUUCAACUCUAGUGAAUACGGGACCAGUCAAAUCAAUCUCCCCUCAUAUGACAGACCUGCCAUCUGUUGUAUCAGCCUAAUGAACCUUCAUUGCACUCCCUCUUUGGCAAGAGUAUCCCCUAUUAGAUAGGGAGACUAAAUUGCACAUAAUACACCAGGCUUGCUCUCACCAAGGACCUGUAUAACUGCAGUAAGACAUUUAUGUGUAUGUUACAACCCGGAGUAAUGGAUAAUUAUGGGCAUGGCACUGGCUUCUUUAUAUCACACAGCUGACCAGGAAUCUCUGCUCUAACCCUGCAUUUCUCAUAGCUAAUGUACCUAACCUACACAUCCAUGAAAACUAUAGGUAAUUUAGCAUGGCCAGUGUACCUAACUUGCAUAUCUUUGGACUAUGAGUUUAUAUUUAACCUAUUUGACCACAUGACGAAUUCAUUUUCCUUGAUCAUUUAGUCCUGGAAUGAGACUUGAACACAGAGGUAUUGUCUCAGAGACAAGGAUACUGCAGACUGUUUCACGUGACUGCGCCAGAAUAUUAUUCAAAUCUAUAAUUAAGAAUAAGGUAAACAAAGGGCAAAGUCUUAAAAAAUGACAGGUUGGUAGAUAAUUGAUCAUUAUAGCUAUUAAGGGGAUAUGGGGCAAAGUGAAUAUGUGGAAUGAUUAUUCAAUUCAGCUUAGAUUUCAUUGAAUAGCAGAACAGGCUAGAUAGGCUAAAUGGCCUAUUCUUGGAAUGUUGCAAUGUACCUAUGAUUAUAAAUGUGGCAAUUAACCUGGAACGUUUUAGUAGUUCUGGUAGUUCAUGCUGCCAUAGCCUUUAACAACAUCAGGGUAUGUUUAAUCAGUUAAAAGUACUUUAAAAUAUAAAACAGGAUACAAAAGACCACUAUGAUUAAAAAGAUGAAUAUUAAAAUUUAAUUGUAAGUGUGUUAGGGGAAAAUGUCAGGUAGAAUCAGAAAUGAAGAUGGGGCAACACUUUUUUUCUGAUGUGAUUGAAGCCAUCAUGACAGAAGUUACAUCAUUAUGUCACAAGUUCAUAAUCAAUAAACAAGUGGCUAUUUGGGCAUUUUCUACAAGUGUGCUGACUGUUUGGAAUAUAAAUCUAAUAACAGUUAUAAUAAUAAAAGAUAUAUGAUAUAUAAAGAUAUAGCAAAUAUAAUAAUAAAAGCCAAUUGUGCAAACUUAUAGGUUGUAAUGUAAUGAAAUUGACUCUCUAUAUGUAGACUGGGUCUGCUAAAACGUUGAGGGCUUAGAUGGUGAUUAAUUUAUUGUGUGUUUAAGGGAACUACUUGAGUAU